GGUGAGUAAUGCCUAGGAAUCUGCCUGGUAGUGGGGGAUAACGCUCGGAAACGGACGCUAAUACCGCAUACGUCCUACGGGAGAAAGCAGGGGACCUUCGGGCCUUGCGCUAUCAGAUGAGCCUAGGUCGGAUUAGCUAGUUGGUGAGGUAAUGGCUCACCAAGGCGACGAUCCGUAACUGGUCUGAGAGGAUGAUCAGUCACACUGGAACUGAGACACGGUCCAGACUCCUACGGGAGGCAGCAGUGGGGAAUAUUGGACAAUGGGCGAAAGCCUGAUCCAGCCAUGCCGCGUGUGUGAAGAAGGUCUUCGGAUUGUAAAGCACUUU
rnacentral:rRNA from 1 species